rnacentral:lncRNA from 1 species
AGCCGUGUUGAGUUUUGCAGCCUCCUCAUCCUGGGCAAAUCCUUUGAAGUCCUGGGUGAACUCUUGUGUGUCCUCCUCUGGAUGCCACUCACGCACACCUUGGCAGGCGCACCUGGGUCAUCACCCCUUUCAUGAGCGUCUGCGUGAAGAGACCACCAAACAGGCUUUGUAUGCUCACCUGUGAAGAGGGAGAAUGUCGCUGUCCGAGCAAGUGUCUCUUCUGUGUCCUUGGCUGCCUUCCUCCUCCUCCUCCUCCCGCCGCCUACUUUGGGGCCCCUUCCUCUUCUCAGCAGUGCCACUGACCAGCCCAGCCUCAUGCACCAUCCCGGCCGUUGCCCUGGAGGGCUGGCAGCUGGCAGGACCCAGAGAGGGCCCAGCCAUCACCCCUCCCUUGAGCAGAUGACAGAGUAACACUGGGAGUUACUAUGGACACUGGAAAAGAGAACACAGAUGCAUCUGAGAUUUUGUAGUUGCAACUCUUCUCUGGUAACCAAAAAACAUCAGGACAUUCAUUGCAAAUGCAACGCUGAGGCUUUGAAGGAACCAAAGAGUUCCUUUGCAGCCCUGAGGA